UACAGAGGUCUCAAGCGUUGUUCGGAUUCAUUGGGCGUAAAGGGUGUGUAGGUGGCGCGCUAAGUCGGGUGUGAAAUUUCGGAGCUUAACUCCGAAACUGCAUUCGAUACUGGCGUGCUUGAGGACUGGAGAGGAGACUGGAAUUCAUGGUGUAGCAGUGAAAUGCGUAGAGAUCAUGAGGAAGACCAGUGGCGAAGGCGGAUCUCUGGACGAGU
rnacentral:rRNA from 1 species